GACGAACGCUGGCGGCGUGCUUAACACAUGCAAGUCGAACGGAAAGGCCCUGCUUUUGUGGGGUGCUCGAGUGGCGAACGGGUGAGUAACACGUGUGUAACCUGCCCUUGUCUUUGGGAUAUCUUCAGGAAACUGGUGCUAAUACCGGAUAGGAGCUCCUGCUGCAUGGUGGGGGUUGGAAAGUUUCGGCGGUUGGGGAUGUACUCGCGGCUUAUCCGCUUGUUGGUUGGGUAGUGGCUUACCAAGGCUUUGACGGGUAGCCGGCCUGAGUGGGUGACCGGCCACAAUGGGACUGAGAUACGGACCAGACUGCAACGGGAGGCAGCAGUGGGGAAUAUGGCACAAUGGGCGGAAGCCUGAUGAAGAAACGCCGCGUGCGGGAUGACGGCCUUCGGGUUGUAAACAGCUGUCGCCUGUGACGAAGCGUGAGUGACGGUAAUGGGUAAAGAAGCACCGGCUAACUACGUG
rnacentral:rRNA from 1 species